rfam:Marchantia polymorpha subsp. polymorpha scaffold3137, whole genome shotgun sequence.
CUAUUUGCGCUUGGGGCAAUGACGCAGUUACUGAGGUGAAACCGAGACGCGUCAAUUGCUGGUUGAAAACUAUUUCCAAACUAUUUCCAUAUGGAUGAGGCUCUUAACGCAAUCAUGAUGAUGAAAGAGUUGAAAAAAGGUAUAAUAGAUUGACAUAUCAAGCAACAAGCCAUGGAAAAUAAAAUCUUUGGAAUAGAAAAUG